rnacentral:rRNA from 1 species
GAUCAUGGCUCAGGAUGAACGCUAGCGACAGGCUAACACAUGCAAGUCGAGGGGCAGCAUAAAAGUAGCAAUACUUGGUGGCGACCGGCGCACGGGUGAGUAACGCGUAUGCAACCUACCUAUCAGAGGGGAAUAACCGGCGAAAGUCGGACUAAUACCGCAUAAAACAGGGGCACCGCAUGGUGAUAUUUGUUAAAGAAAUUCGCUGAUAGAUGGGCAUGCGUUCCAUUAGGUAGUUGGUGAGGUAACGGCUCACCAAGCCGACGGUGGAUAGGGGAACUGAGAGGUUGGUCCCCCACACUGGUACUGAGACACGGACCAGACUCCUACGGGAGGCAGCAGUGAGGAAUAUUGGUCAAUGGGCGGGAGCCUGAACCAGCCAAGUCGCGUGAAGGAAGAAGGAUCUAUGGUUCGUAAACUUCUUUUGCAGGGGAAUAAAGUGCAGGACGUGUCCUGUUUUGUAUGUACCCUGAGAAUAAGGAUCGGCUAACUCCGUGCCAGCCGCCGC